UAAAACGUCGACUUAACGAAUCCAUGUUCGAAUCCUGCAAUCCACAUUUUCCCUUUAAUUUUUUUCUUUCCUUUCUUUCCAUCGUUUUUUUCUUUCAGAAAAGAAAAGAAGACCUUCUUCAGUUCCAUUCAGAAAUUGGGGACUUCCAUGAAAGCAUCUCCUUCGUUCUCCUCGAUUAACUAUGAAAUUGAGAAAGAAGAUCUACGAAACCAUCCCUCUUCUUCAUUCUCCUCGAUUAUUUUAACGUACAACAAAAAUACCGCAAAACGAAGAUUUUGGUGGUAGCGGAUGAACAAGAAAAAAUGACGAAAAUUCGAAGAGACUUCCCAAAGGAAGGAUGGUGACGUAUACGUUUUUCCCCACUUCCCUGAAGCAAGCGCUUAAGGAAUGCAAAGAUGAUUCCACAAGAAGACCGACCAUGGAGAGAACAACAUAUGCCGUUGUGUUGGGAUUAGCUUUUACUAAAAAUCUUGAAGUUGUCAACAUAUAUCUUCUUCUUCUUGAUUUUUACCAAGGCUCUUCCUCUUGAUUUUUUCCAAGGCUUCGUGUGGUAAAGAUCUGUUGGAAUGUAUUAUAUAGAAAAGUGCAUAUAAUUUUUUUGUUAUAAAAUAUUUUUGAAUUUUUGCUGUAUAGAAUGGAAUGGUAGGCGCAUCGCGCGUGCGUGUUAUACUAGUAACAAAAAUAAAUAAAUAAAAAUAUCCUAUCAGUUUUCCAGGGGAA